UUUUCAUAAGAGCCUCUAGGUGUCCCCAUCAUCCAUGAGAUCUUGCUCCUAGCGUUACAACCAGGAGCCUCCAAGUGCUGAGAACUGAAAUAUUAGCAAUUUCUUGAAAAUAGAGGCUUAUCUAAAAACUGGUAUUUGUGUUCACUGUUUCUUUGUGGCCUGACUCUGGUGAAAAAAAUGUUUAUUAGGAAAAAUAUGUCUUGAGAUCAAAUCAUUUGUCCAAGAACUUCCAAGCCACCUGCUUUAUGUACUAUGAAAUGUUAAAUCCAAAUCAAAACAUCUCAAAUAUUAGCAGUUAGCCCUACAUAAAAGUUACAAGUAUAUAAUUAUUUCCACAGUCUUAAAACUUGGAUUUUCCUAAAGAAACUAGUGUAAAGACUAGUUGUUUUAUCACCAUAAGUUAAUUCACCGGUACAGUCCACUAGUGUAAAUAAAGUCUUCCAAAGCCUCCUGUAUAAACCAUCCAGAGUCUCCUCCAGGGUGGGGCAUAUACACUAAUAAAGGUUAACCCUUACAGCACCCCUAUGAAGUGACUUUUAUCUCCAUUUUAUAGGUGGAGAAACGGAGGCAAAUGACAGUUACUUAACACCCAAGGCGACACAUAAAAAGUAGUAGGGGCCAUUCGGUUACUCACUAUACUAGACUGCCAUUCAUGCUCAAACAACAUUUACUGAAUGAGUUAAUAGUUUCAAUUUCCAAAUAAGCGUAAUUGUGUGUUCCUUGUUAACUGUCCUUUGAAGGGUUUCAUGAGUGUCAUUGCAUAUAACACAGCACUGGUGUGGUGGCCUCUGCUCUAUGGAAGGUUUGGGUUCAAUUCGGCCAUUAUUCGGAAUGGCUAAGACACGAUAUAAGGUUACUUUUCAAUUUAACUGUCGGUAUUCUCACACAGGUGCUUAUCUGCUCUCUAUAGCUGUUUGAAUGCAAGGCAGGAGCACAUUUGGUGAGCUCUUGAGGAUGGAGCAGACCUGGCCGGCACUGAGUGUAAUCUAAGAGACUGGAGGAGUUCCCAUCGUGGCUCAGUGGUUAACGAACCAGACUAGGAAUCAUGAGGUUGCGGGUUCCUGGCCUCACUCAGUGGGUGAAGGAUCUGGCGUUGCGUGAGCUGUGGUGUAGGUCGCAGAUGCGGCUCAGAUCCUGCGUUGCUGUGGCUCUGGCAUAGGCCAGUGGCUACAGCUCCGAUUAGACCCCUAGCCUGGGAAUCUCCAUGUACCACAGGUGCGGCCCUAGAAAAGACAAAAAAAAAAAAAAAAAAAAAAAAAUACUGGAAUGAACAUACAAAUCAAUUUGGCUGUGACAUUUGUGAGAUGUGAUGUGGUGCUAGGAGAGCCCAGCCUCAAGGCCACUGAACCUAUGAAAUUAGUCAAGUCUCAGGAUUUCUAGACAGAAGUUUCUUCCUAGGACAAGGUGGUGCUUAGGGCAGUGGCUUCAGGUGAUCUUGAAAAAUGCAUUAAGCUCUUCAGAAAUCUCGCAAUCUCCUUACAUGUUAUGGAGAAGGGAGUCCCUGGAAAAAGGCCCUCAGGUCUUGCCAGUGGUAUCUGAGAAGGUGCUCACCCUCAUAAGCACUUCAACGCUGCAAACUUAGCCAAGGAAGUGCACCCAGUACUCAGCUAACUUGUUUUUAAAGGGCUAUGGUUACACUGACAUGAAACCUUGGGACUUUCCCAUGAUUCUGGGCGUUUCUAAAACCCAAAUACCUCCAGACUGCAGCCCACCAGCUUCCUCUUGCUUUUGGUAGACUCCCAGCUGUAGGAGAAACCCGCUGAUCAUUUGCUUCUCUCAUUUCCCUUUGUAGAGGAGCCAGGCCCAGGGCCGACUUCCCCAGCAACUCAAGCUCCAGGGUGAGAUGGUUGCCUAGUUUCUACUAACAGGUUGACCGGAAGAUGAUCUGCGGCCAAGGAAACAAGGCAAAAUGGGUGCCCUAAUUUGGUGGGCUUCAGAUGGGCCACCAGAGACCCCGAAACCAACGGGUGAUUGACAGUGGCCAUCUCAAGGCCUGACUUCGACUUCUUCGCAACCACAGUCGUCCAGAUAGACUGCUGCCUGGCAGCGAGACCCCGCUGGGUGGCGG
rnacentral:lncRNA from 1 species